CCUACGGGAGGCAGCAGUGAGGAAUAUUGGUCAAUGGGCGCGAGCCUGAACCAGCCAAGUCGCGUGAGGGAUGACGGUCCUACGGAUUGUAAACCUCUUUUGCCGGGGAGCAAGCGUGCGUUCGUGAACGCGCGUCGAGAGUACCCGGAGAAUAAGCAUCGGCUAACUCCGUGCCAGCAGCCGCGGUAAUACGGAGGAUGCGAGCGUUAUCCGGAUUUAUUGGGUUUAAAGGGUGCGUAGGCGGUUUUUUAAGUUAGUGGUUAAACGUCGGGGCUUCACCUUGAUUUUCCAUUCAUACUGUAAGA
rnacentral:rRNA from 1 species